GCAGCAGUCACUUGGGAGCCACAGAACCCAAGCUAAGGGGGCUGCAGUCUGCAGCUUCUGUUCCCCGCUCUAUACCCUGAUUGUGGAGAGCCCUUGUUCCACACAAACAGUUUAGGUUCUGUGGACACAAAGCCCUGGGCAGGGCUGGACAUGCAGCUGGGCGCUGCCAGUAGCCGCUUUGGGCAGGCAAGGUCCACCUUCACGGUUCCACGGGGCUCUGGCGCCAGGGCCGCUGGGGUGGGGUCAGCCUUUGUUCCAUCUGUUUGCACCCAGGUGGGGCUCCCGGCCCUUCCUCUCCUCUGCUAGCUGCAGGCUCUUGGGUGUGGCUUCUUACUCCCAUUUUCCAUAGAAAGAAAGCAAACCACCUCUGGAAUUCUUAGGGACCAGCUCAGUGCUGCUCCAGACCCUCCUCCUGGUGCCCCGGCCCUGAGAUUAGAAAAGGAUCAGACUUCCAGCUGGAUCUCCAGGCCACAGAUGGGGGGCUGUGCCCCCUGGGAACUAUGUGGGGAAGAAUGGGGGCCAUUCAUCUGCCUGACCCUGAUCAGGGACAAACCUACCUGAGGUAGGACAGAGGACAAACAAGGUGGGGCGCAGUCCCCAAGGUGGGUGAGCCCUCAGUGAGUUUAUGAUGCAGAUAAUUCCAUUCAAUGCCAUGGGCUGUUUGGGUCUGUUGUUUGUAAAGGCAAUAUGAUAAAACGCUUCCAAACUUUAUCUGGGAAAGAUGAACAAGCAAGGCCAGCAGAAGAAAUCAGAAAAUUAGGGAAACUAAAGUGACAAGUAUGUAUGGGUAUAUGAAAUGCUUUCCCAUAUAAAACAAGAUUCUGUUAUCACAGCUCUUCAAACCUGGUGCUGGCUGUUAGAAUAAACACAUCAAUGGCAAGCCCAGAACAGAUCCUGUUAUUUACAAGUUCUGGGGAUGGAACCCACAGCCUGGAACGUGUUCUCCACCCCCAGCCCUGACUGCUCACUAAAGCAAGAUUGAAUCUGGAGCACAGUCUUCACGCCCCACCCAGCUGGCGGGUCCAGUCUGGUUCCCCUACAGACUGUCAGAGGGACACUGGGAAUGCAAUGAUUGUGUUUCAUCUUUCUAGGAACCAAACAGAAACACUGGUGAACAAAAAGGUGGGCAAGCCUGGGUGGUGAGGAGGGUGGGUGGAUAAACUGGCGCUUUAAGAAAUCGGCUUUAAGGUGACAAUUCUAGGUUGAGACUUGACUGUUACAUGGUGGUCUAAACAUCCUUUCCAAGCAGCUCUGGUCCCAGAGAUUUCCGGGAUGGCAUUACGGACAGGAUGGAGAGAUUGUACACACCCUACAUGCUCAGCCACAGAGGUGGUGGGCAAAUGCCCAAAGAAAUGAAAACAUCAAUGUAGACACGUGCUGGACGCCAGAGCCACCCACAAUAGCCGAACGAUGGUGGUGACCAGAUGGGAAUCCAGAGAGGAUGGAUGAACCCGAUGGGGUCCUUACAUACCAUGGAACAUCAUUUAGGCUUACAUGGGAAGGAAAUUCUGGCGCGAGCUGCCUGUGGAUGAAACUUGAGGAUGCUAACAAGCCAAACCACAGGACAAACACUUUAGGGGUCCACUUAUUCCACUUCCCAGGGCAGUGAAAUCCAUCACAGGUACUGGUGGUGUCCUGGGGCGUCUGGGACCAGGGCAGAGAUGGAGAUUGCAUUUCACCGGAGUGGUUUCUCUUCGGGAAGAUGGAGGCGGAUGGUGCUGGGGAUUGCAUAAUGCUGUGAAAGUGUAGAGCACCCUGGCCAAACACAGUCCCUAUGACAUCCCAGUGGAGGUUCACAUGGUGCUCACAAUGACAUCUAUGUGUAGACGGUUUUUUCCUUUCCUCCAUUUUCUAAAUGCUCUGUAAUAUGGGUUAAUAACGUUAAUGGUGAAAUUAAUAUUCUACACUAAUUAUGACAGAAUGGGAGUCAGUUUCCUAAAAAUAUGCAAAGAUUCAGAAUAAGAAAUGCAAUACAGAGUAAAAAGACCACCACCUUCAAAAAGAGAAACACACCCAGGAGGAUAAAGAGGUCACCUCCGACGUAAGUGGCAACAAGCAGCCAGCAAGCAUCCCCACAGGUAUCUGACUGCAGGAGGGACAAAACCACCCAGGGACACCCAGGUUUUACCUCUCACCUCAGCAAUCACGGCAGAGGCCAGGCAGACCCUGCAGGCUCCCAUGGGUGGAGCUGACCAGCAAUCCCGACUGUCUGGCCCAGAAAUCCCAGAAUGUCUGAGAAGUGGGUUGUAGAACAAUAUAUAAAACAUGAUGGUAUUUUUUGUUUUAAAAUGUUAGUCUAAGACUGGGCAAGGUGGCUUAUGCCUCAUAAUCCCUGCAUUUAGGAGGCUGAGGCAGGAAGAUUGCUGUAACUUCCGGGGCAGCCUGGGCUAUACAGUGAGUUCAAGGUUAGCCUGAAGUACAUAAGGAGACCCAGUCUCAAAAAAAUUAAAAAGUCUGUAUUUCAUUAAAUGUACAAUGUUUAUGGUUUUAUGUGUCAACUUACAUUUUUAAUUAAAAAAAUAAAAAUAUAAAAUA